GUGCGAAAGCGUGGGAGCAAACGGGAUUAGAUACCCCGGUAGUCCACGCCGUAAACGAUGUCUACUAGCCGUUGGAGGACUUGAUCCUUUAGUGGCGCAGCUAACGCGAUAAGUAGACCGCCUGGGGAGUACGGUCGCAAGAUUAAAACUCAAAUGAAUUGACGGGGGCCCGCACAAGCGGUGGAGCAUGUGGUUUAAUUCGAAGCAACGCGAAGAACCUUACCUACUCUUGACAUCCAGUGAACUUUUGAGAGAUCAAUUGGUGCCUUCGGGAACACUGAGACAGGUGCUGCAUGGCUGUCGUCAGCUCGUGUUGUGAAAUGUUGGGUUAAGUCCCGUAACGAGCGCAACCCUUGUCCUUAGUUACCAUCAUUAAGUUGGGGACUCUAAGGAGACUGCCGGUGACAAACCGGAGGAAGGCGGGGACGACGUCAAGUCAUCAUGGCCCUUACGAGUAGGGCUACACACGUGCUACAAUGGCAUGUACAAAGGGUUGCCAAGCCGCGAGGUGGAGCUAAUCCCAUAAAGCAUGUCGUAGUCCGGAUUGGAGUCUGCAACUCGACUCCAUGAAGUCGGAAUCGCUAGUAAUCGUGAAUCAGAAUGUCACGGUGAAUACGUUCCCGGGCCUUGUACACACCGCCCGUCACACCAUGGGAGUGGGUUGCUCCAGAAGUAGAUAGCUUAACCUUCGGGAGGGCGUUUACCACGGAGUGAUUCAUGACUGGGGUGAAGUCGUAACAAGGUAACCGUA
rnacentral:rRNA from 1 species